GAUGAACGCUAGCGGCAGGCCUAAUACAUGCAAGUCGAACGGUAACAUGAGUAGCAAUACUUGAUGACGAGUGGCGCACGGGUGCGUAACGCGUAUGCAAUCUACCUUUAACUGGUGAAUAGCCCGAAGAAAUUCGGAUUAAUACACCAUAGUAUAAUUGAGUGGCAUCACUUAAUUAUUAAAACUCCGGUGGUUAAAGAUGAGCAUGCGUGACAUAGCUAGUUGGUGAGGUAAUGGCUCACCAAGGCUACGAUGUCUAGGGGAUCUGAGA
rnacentral:rRNA from 1 species